AUUGAACGCUGGCGGCAUGCCUUACACAUGCAAGUCGAACGGUAACAGGUCUUCGGAUGCUGACGAGUGGCGAACGGGUGAGUAAUACAUCGGAACGUGCCCGAUCGUGGGGGAUAACGAGGCGAAAGCUUUGCUAAUACCGCAUACGAUCUACGGAUGAAAGCGGGGGAUCUUCUGACCUCGCGCGGUCGGAGCGGCCGAUGGCGGAUUAGGUAGUUGGUGGGAUAAAAGCUUACCAAGCCGACGAUCUGUAGCUGGUCUGAGGGGAUGAUCAGCCACACUGGGACUGAGACACGGCCCAGACUCCUACGGGAGGCAGCAGUGGGGAAUUUUGGACAAUGGGCGAAAGCCUGAUCCAGCCAUGCCGCGUGCAGGAUGAAGGCCUUUGGGUUGUAAACUGCUUUUGUACGGAACGAAAAGCCUCUUUCUAAUAAAGAGGGGUCAUGACGGUACCGUAAGAAUAAGCACCGGCUAACUACGUG
rnacentral:rRNA from 1 species